GUCACUUACAAUCCCUAGGAGCGCCACAAUGAAAGUUUCGGUGUGUGUCGUCCUCCUCUUGAUCCUAAGCUCUAUGGCAGAAGGAGUUCAAGAAGAAGGAGAUGGAAAAGAGGCCAAGUUCUUCAUUAAGAGUUAUUCAACAACCACCUGGACUUUCUUGUCAUCAUUCACCUCAACUGUCCCCUACACUUGUUACCUAAGUAAGUUUCCAUCACUCAGUUGGAUACUAAG